rnacentral:rRNA from 1 species
GCUGGCGGCGUGCUUAACACAUGCAAGUCGAACGAACCUUCGGGUUAGUGGCGGACGGGUGAGUAACGCGUGAGAAUCUGCCCUCAGGAGGGGGAUAACGGUUGGAAACGACCGCUAAUACCCCAUAUGCCGCGAGGUGAAAUGAAUUUCGCCUGAGGAUGAGCUCGCGUCUGAUUAGUUAGUUGGUGGGGUAAAGGCCUACCAAGACAUCGAUCAGUAGCUGGUCUGAGGGGAUGAUCAGCCACACUGGGACUGAGACACGGCCCAGACUCCUACGGGAGGCAGCAGUGGGGAAUUUUCCGCAAUGGGCGAAAGCCUGACGGAGCAACGCCGCGUGAGGGAUGAAGGCCUCUGGGCUGUAAACCUCUUUUAUCAAGGAAGAAGAUCUGACGGUACUUGAUGAAUAAGCCACGGCUAAUUCCGUGCCAGCAGCCGCGGUAAUACGGGAGUGGCAAGCGUUAUCCGGAAUUAUUGGGCGUAAAGCGUCCGCAGGCGGUCUGUCAAGUCUGCUGUUAAAGCGUGGAGCUUAACUCCAUUUCGGCAGUGGAAACUGACAGACUAGAGUGUGGUAGGGGCAGAGGGAAUUCCCGGUGUAGCGGUGAUAUGCGUAGAUAUCGGGAAGAACACCAGUGGCGAAGGCGCUCUGCUGGGCCAUAACUGACGCUCAUGGACGAAAGCCAGGGGAGCGAAAGGGAUUAGAUACCCCUGUAGUCCUGGCCGUAAACGAUGAACACUAGGUGUCGGGGGAAUCGACCCCCU